rnacentral:rRNA from 1 species
AACGAACGCUGGCGGCAGGCCUAACACAUGCAAGUCGAGCGCCCCGCAAGGGGAGCGGCGGACGGGUGAGUAACGCGUGGGAACGUACCCUUUUCUGCGGAAUAGCCCAGGGAAACUUGGAUUAAUACCGCAUACGCCCUUCGGGGGAAAGAUUUAUCGGAGAAGGAUCGGCCCGCGUUGGAUUAGGUAGUUGGUGGGGUAAUGGCCUACCAAGCCGACGAUCCAUAGCUGGUUUGAGAGGAUGAUCAGCCACACUGGGACUGAGACACGGCCCAAACUCCUACGGGAGGCAGCAGUGGGGAAUAUUGGACAAUGGGCGCAAGCCUGAUCCAGCCAUGCCGCGUGAGUGAUGAAGGUCUUAGGAUUGUAAAGCUCUUUCACCGGUGAAGAUAAUGACGGUAACCGGAGAAGAAGCCCCGGCUAACUUCGUGCCAGCAGCCGCGGUAAAAC